rnacentral:rRNA from 1 species
UACGUAGGGGGCUAGCGUUAUCCGGAAUUACUGGGCGUAAAGGGUGCGUAGGUGGUUUCUUAAGUCAGAGGUGAAAGGCUACGGCUCAACCGUAGUAAGCCUUUGAAACUGGGGAACUUGAGUGCAGGAGAGGAGAGUGGAAUUCCUAGUGUAGCGGUGAAAUGCGUAGAUAUUAGGAGGAACACCAGUUGCGAAGGCGGCUCUCCGGACUGUAACUGACACUGAGGCACGAAAGCGUGGGGAGCAAACAGG